rnacentral:tRNA from 9 species
GGGGGCAUAGCUCAGCUUGGUUAGAGCGUCGGCCUGUCAAGCCGAAGGCCGCGGGUUCAAGUCCCGUUGCUCCCGCCA